AGGAGCAAGGGGUUAAUAAUGUGGAGGAUGCUUCUGGGCUUGAGAGCUCACAGUUCCUCUUCCCUCUGCCUCCUGGUUGAGGUGAGAACAAAAGGAGCUGGAGGCAACUCAGAGGAAGGGCUUGUCUGGUGUAGCAGAGAUAUGAGUGUUUCGUGCUCAGGCUUCCUGGGCUGCUUAAGUUCACAGAUGUCCUACCUAGGAGUCAAGCACAUGAUCAUGGAAAAAGGAAGGGCAGAAUGGCUGUGUUUUGGUAUUCUUUGUGCCUGGAAUAUACUUCCCACGCAUUGGAGAAAACUUGAGGAUGCUGAAGAUACUCAAGAGAUCAGAACCUGUCCAGCGCUGAAAGAACAUCAAAGUGGCUAGAGGUAAAAGCAGCAAGACGUAAAGCUGGGUCUUGCACCUAUCUCAUUUCCUCCCUGUGAUAAUGGAGGACAUCCUUGACUGUUAACCCUUCUCUUUGCCUCUCUCUGUACUGUUUGGGGUAUAUGGGUCAUCAUUACAUCUACUGUGCUGCUAUGCUGAGGACUUCAAGUGCUGAGAAAACUGUCUCCCUGUAGUUUCCUUGCCAUCCCUUUCCCUUUGUACACCUGCUGGUAAACAGCCUGGCAAUAGACGAACCUUUAAAUACAUUAGACAUGCAUUUGCAUUUGAAGAAGGAAACAAAAUAUGCAUGACUCAUCCUAA